AUGUGUGAGGAUAUUGUUAUAAAAUGUACAAUAUGCAUAUACACAAAAUGUAAACAUAAUAUCUGGUAUAUAUUUACAAUCCUACAUUAUAGUUGUUGUUUUUUGUACCACCAUGUCUUAAUUGAGAAGAUGGAAAGGUUUGCAAUGACACAUGCAAAGAGAGAAAGAAUAAGCAAACUACAUGAUAAAGUCUUUAGACGCCAGAGUUGGAGCGAGCUACGGGCCGGUCUUGUGCUUGAUCGCUGGCUUGUAACCUUCCCAACCCCCAUUCCAAUUCAGGACUUUGAGAACAGGCUCUUUUGCUCAAUGGGGGCAGAUUUCAGGCCUCACAUGGACGUGGGGGUCACAUUCGGCUUAAGGCUGCCUCUUGGUCAACACCCCGUUCCCUGUGUCUCCGGACAAAGGAUGCAAUUCCAUUUCGGAGGGAGGGAAGGAGGGAGGAUAUGAUGAAGCUCAGAGACCUGGAGAAAAGAGAAGAGAAAAAAUUAGUUCUGAGAACUGAUACAGAACGGGGAAAAAAAUACAUGUGGAAUUGUAAAUAAUUUCAACCAUUUUGCAUCUAAGAGAAAGAAAAAAAAGAAGGAGGAAGAAGAAGGAAGUUCAUUCUUUAAGAAUGAAGAAUGGCGGACAAGCAGGAAGAGGAACCAUCCUGUUUCUUUGCUUUUUUUCUCUCUAUUUGUCUUUUCUCUCUCACUGUACCUUCUUCCUUAUCUCUCUCUCUCUCUCUUUCCCUUUCUGUGUCUCUUCCUCUCUUAAAAUGGCAGCAGACUCCUCCCAUUUUAGGGGGCCAGGCGAAUUUUUUUGUUUGUCUUGAAACAGCAAGGCCAGGAAUUGUCACUGUUGGUGACCCAAGGUCAAGCAGACUCGCUUCUCCCAUUUAACUGGGAAAUCCCACACAAGAAAUUCAAUCAACAGUUUUUUUAAUCAUUUACAAAUGGGUAUAUAAACUGUAAACGGUUGCUGAAAAGUUUGGCUAAUGUACUUCAUGUGGUUUUAUUCACUUUUUUUUCUUUUUAAUGGAGAUAUAGAAUAUGUACUUUUGGAAGUGCAACUCCAAAGAUAAAAAUUUGUAUUUACUGAUACUGAAUUGUAUUAAAAACUCAAUGAGCUUUGGUAAAAAUAACAUGUAUUAUUGCAUCAUAUAUUUAUUUUAAGCUGAAAUACAUACUCUAAAAAAAAUGGUAUAGGAUUUACUUUGAAAUAGUUUUAAUUUAGAAAUUGCUAGGUAAUUUGUCAAUGAAACAGCAAGUAACAUUGAAUUAAAUGUGAAAUUUUUAAGAAGAAAGACUGAAAUAGUAAACUCAAAAAAAAAAAAAAAUCUGUAAAUCUAGGGCAUAGUGUAAUGUAGGCUAUUUAAUUUUUAAAGAAUAAUUUUAUGCAUUUAUUUUUAUCGGUCUACCUGUUUUACCUGUAUUUUCAAUUUUGCAUUGCACUGUGUUUUAGAGUAACAGAAAUGUCAGGUAAUUUAACGGAUAAUGAUACCACUAUUUUCAUUCUAUAUAUACAGUAUAUAUAUACACACAAACACACAUAUAUAUAAAUUUUUUACAGUGUAGGAACUAAUUCAUCUUAGCAUUAAGUAAAGCUGCUUUUCAUAAAACUUAAAACUAUAUUCAAGACUGAAAUAAUCAUUUUUAUGCAAGUACUGUUGGCUGGAGAAGCACUGCACUGACAAUAAAAAACAAAAACUGGAUUCUUCCA
ensembl:lncRNA